UACAGAGGUCCCAAGCGUUGUUCGGAUUCACUGGGCGUAAAGCGCACGUAGGUGGCGACGUAAGUCGGGUGUGAAAGCCCCGGGCUCAACCUGGGAAUUGCAUUCGAGACUGCAUUGCUGGAGUACGGAAGAGGAGGGCGGAAUUCCCGGUGUAGCGGUGAAAUGCGUAGAUAUCGGGAGGAACAUCAGUGGCGAAGGCGGCCCUCUGGUCCAGUACUGACACUCAAGUGCGAAAGCGUGGGGAGCAAACAGG
rnacentral:rRNA from 1 species